UCUUUAAUUUAAUCUCGCUCGCCGACAAAUUCGCGACAGUCUGCGUCCGCCGUGCGAUUAGAGGGUUGCGUUAGGAAAGUAUAUUUAUAAUUUGAAUAAUUGUGCGAAUUAUAUAUUAUGUAAAAUCUGGAAAAUAGGAUUUAGGAAGAUUGCAUUUGGAGGCUUUCUUUUUUGUGUUUCGAUAAUACACGACUUCAAGAUUCUGGCGUUGCUUUUGAGGAAUUUUCCAUCUUGCUUCUUACAGUGAUAAUUAAAUAAUAUGGACAAACAGAAAGAGGAAAAAUUUCCCUCCACUCUAAUUAAUCGUACCUCGCAAGUAUCAAUCGGACUUUCGCCAUUCCUCAAGCGAUCCGCGACCUGUUUGGGAAUCAUCUGGUACAACAAUUCGUCGGUAGUACACGCACCCGAAGACGAUGCAGAAGGGAAAUAUCUCGAAGAGCACGCACGCCCCGAUCGGCAGGUGCUUCUCCUCGCGAGUCAUCGCCAGCGAGGCGAGGGUGAAGGCGCGAUUAUCGAAGAUGAACGACGGCGCUCGCAUCCUCGGGUAGGAGAACUUGAGGUACUCGUGGAGAUUGUCCAGGCCAUUGAGGAAAUCCCUCACGUGUCGUCCUAAGACCGAGAGCACGCGAUCGUAACCGUACUGACCGACGAAUCCUACGAAGUGCACGCCCAUCUGAUCGAAGAACUCCUUCUCCGUCACGCCAAGUACCUGAGGUUCUCCGGAUAAACUUGGUGAACGCUGAAGCUCGGCUGGUCCACGGACGCCUGUCUGCGAAUUUCCUCCCAUCUGUCCUCGCCGUAAACCUGCCUUAUAUAUUCGGCCAGAUUUUCCAAGAUUAGACCGUACAUGGUUCUCUUUGAACAAAUUCUAUACUGGAAACACGUAAAUUUUUACCAACACGAUCUCUCACGUGACGCUUUUAUAUGAGAUGAUGGCGGAUCCUUUUCAAGAGGGUACCUUUGUAUAAUCUGCAUUACGCAAACGUUAAAUGUGCACAAUCUCCUUCAUUUUUAACGAUACUUUGAGGAUGCUCAUCGCGAGUCUCGAUCAUCGAUGAUUACUGACCUUGCUUAUUAAAAGGACGGGACCUGAUACGCAUAUGUGUGUGUGCGCAUAUGUCCGUUUAGCCCUCUGAAUUAAAAUCAACUUCCCAUAUGGUUAACACACCCCGAUAUCUUCGUUGGCUUCUCUCGAAACAACAAACGCACUCUUCCAAGCUUUUCCUUUGCGGAAGCUGCGGCGGAACUUCAGAGAUGCAACGGCGGAAGAAGGGGCGGAUUACGGGUCACCGGAAAAUUAAUACCGUGAUAAUAAGCCUCCCUCAUCCUCCAUUCGCUCCGCCGAGGAAAAGACGAGGGAUGAGCGAAGCUUCGGAGGAUGCAGCAGGUGUUAACAGAUGAUGGAAUCACGACACAUACGGUUCUACAACACGCGUUUCUCACAUUGACUCGGCACGGAUGUACUGUGUGUGUGCGAGAGACACUCGGGAUCAAUCUGCAAACGAGGAAGCACGUGCGCGAGUACCAAUCGUGAGUAUGCGCGCGGUUUUUCUCCCUCUAGGGCUUUAGGGGGUGGCAGAUGACAGAAUCGAACGGGGCUUUCAAGUACUAAUUGAAAGAUACACAGAGGAAAUUUUCUCGUAGAAUUUACCUUCUCUUUACCUUUUUCUCUUAGAA